rnacentral:lncRNA from 1 species
CUUCUGAACACAGCUGCCUCGUCCUUCCCUGAUGACUGGGUCCAUGAGACUGGGGCAGCAGCAGGGGCAGGUACAGAGCACCUCAGCCGCCUCUCCACCUGACAGCAACAUCAAAGCCGAGGCCAAGGCGGGAGGGCCCAGAGUGAGACACCUCUUCCAGACAAGACUUGGUCGCUGCCUCCUCCUCUGUCACCCUGCGACACAGCCCAGAGUACCAGGCGGCUGGAGCACUGGGGGACACCCGGACAGAACCCUCCCUGGACCAAGUCCUCCAGGAACGGGAUGAAGCCAUUGCCAAGAAGCAGGCGGUGGAGGCGGAGCUGCAGAGAUGCAAAGCCAGGCUACACGCCAUGGAGGCCCAGCUGCUGGAGGUCCUGGAGGAGAAACUGAGGCUGAGGCGGGAGCUGGAGGCCUGGGAGGAGGACGUGCAGCAGCUGGUGUGGCAGCAGGUCCAGAAUCAGCUGCAGAGAGAGGCCAAGGGUACUCGGGGAGCCCA